rnacentral:misc_RNA from 1 species
GUAGGUGAACCUGCGGAAGGAUCAUUCAUAAUAAGUGUUCUACUGCACUUUUUAAAAAUAGUACUCACCUUGUGUGCAAUGUUGUGUGGAAUUUCUUUUACUAGAGAUUUCACACCUACACCAACCUAUAAACUUGAAAUACUUUGUCUGAAAAACUAUUAUGAAUACUUAAUUCAAAAUACAACUUUCAACAACGGAUCUCUUGGCUCUC